GUGGUAGAGGGCCAUUAUGCCAACGCCCUAAGCGUAAAGGUGCCCGAAGGCCCGCUCUUGCGAGUACGCUGCUGUCCUCGGUCUCGGUCGCUGUAUCCAGUAGGAGGCUAUAACACACCCCGAGAGGUGCCACGUUCCUCCUACCCUUCUCCAGUGCCCAAAACCGACGUUGGCCUGCAAUCUGGGAAAAACACCAAGCAAAAGCAAGGCUGAAUCCCAGGCCGCAUCUCUGACCUCCUACCCUUCCCUUUUGGCAAUUUCACGUACUGUUUAACUCUCUUUUCAAAGUUCUUUUCAUCUUUCCAUCACUGUACUUGUUCGCUAUCGGUCUCUCCCCAAUAUUUAGCCUUAGAUGGCAUUUACCACCCAUUUUGAGCUGCAUUCCCAAACAACUCGACUCUUAGAAAGCGUAUCACAAAGCCUCGGGCGCUCCAAGCCAUGUACGGGAUUAUCACCCUCUAUGAUGCCCCUUUCCAGGGGACUUAGGCUUGGUCCGAAGCGGAAAACACUUCUUGAGAUUACAAUGCGGACGCCGAAGACGCCAGCUUUCAAUCUUGGGCUCUUCCCUCUUCACUCGCCGUUACUAGGGGAAUCCUUGUUAGUUUCUUUUCCUCCGCUAUUUGAUAUGCAAA
rnacentral:rRNA from 1 species